GGCGGCGUGCCUAACACAUGCAAGUCGUACGAGAAAGUUGGCUUCGGCCAAUGAGUAAAGUGGCGCACGGGUGAGUAACGCGUGGAUAAUCUGCCCUUCAGCGGGGAAUAACCCAUCGAAAGGUGGGCUAAUACCCCAUAACACUGUUUUACAACUGUCAAACAGUCAAAGAGAGCCUCUGCUUGCAAGCUUUUACUGAAGGUUGAGUCCGCGUACCAUUAGCUAGUUGGUAGGGUAAUGGCCUACCAAGGCGACGAUGGUUAGCUGGUCUGAGAGGAUGAUCAGCCACACUGGAACUGAGACACGGUCCAGACUCCUACGGGAGGCAGCAGUGAGGAAUCUUGCGCAAUGGGGGAAACCCUGACGCAGCAACGCCGCGUGAGUGAGGAAGGUCUUCGGGUCGUAAAGCUCUGUCAGGCGGGAAGAAAUGCAUGGAGGUGAACAGCCGCCAUGCUUGACGGUACCGCCAGAGGAAGCACCGGCUAACUCCGUG
rnacentral:rRNA from 1 species